rfam:Jatropha curcas cultivar GZQX0401 scaffold67_49, whole genome shotgun sequence.
AAGGCUUUUUCAAUCUUUGUAUUAAGAUCACAGCUUUACACUAAUUUCAAUGGGUUAAUGCUGCUUUUUGUGAAGCCUAAAAAGUUGUUUCCCUCGCUAUCCAAGGCUGAAUUUUAUGUUGCAUUUGGACGUUGGGAAACUACAUUC